GGGCCCGCACAAGCGGCGGAGCAUGCGGAUUAAUUCGAUGCAACGCGAAGAACCUUACCUGGGUUUGACAUAUACCGGAAACACCUAGAGAUAGGUGCCCCGCAAGGUCGGUAUACAGGUGGUGCAUGGCUGUCGUCAGCUCGUGUCGUGAGAUGUUGGGUUAAGUCCCGCAACGAGCGCAACCCUCGUUCUAUGUUGCCAGCGGUUCGGCCGGGAACUCAUAGAAGACUGCCGGGGUCAACUCGGAGGAAGGUGGGGAUGACGUCAAGUCAUCAUGCCCCUUAUGUCCAGGGCUUCACGCAUGCUACAAUGGCUGGUACAAAGGGCUGCAAUACCGCAAGGUGGAGCGAAUCCCAUAAAGCCAGCCCGGUUCGGAUUGGGGUCUGCAACUCGACCCCAUGAAGUCGGAGUCGCUAGUAAUCGCAGAUCAGCAACGCUGCGGUGAAUACGUUCCCGGGCCUUGUACACACCGCCCGUCAAGUCAUGAAAGUCGGUAACACCCGAAGCCGGUGGCCUAACCCUUGUGGAGGGAGCCGUCGAAGGUGGGACCGGUAAUUAGGACUAAGUCGUAACAAGGUAGCCGUACCGGAAGGUGCGGCU
rnacentral:rRNA from 1 species